UGGGGAAUCUUGCACAAUGGGGGCAACCCUGAUGCAGCGACGCCGCGUGAGCGAUGAAGCCCUUCGGGGCGUAAAGCUCUUUCGACCGGAACGAUAAUGACGGUACCGGGAGAAGAAGCUGCGGCUAACUACGUGCCAGCAGCCGCGGUAAUACGUAGGCAGCAAGCGUUGUUCGGAGUUACUGGGCGUAAAGAGUGCGUAGGCGGUUUUCUAAGUUCGGUGUGAAAUCUCCCGGCUUAACUGGGAGGGUGCGCCGAAGACUGGGAAGCUGGAUUGUGGGAAAGGCAGGCGGAAUUCCUGGUGUACCGGUGAAAUGCGUAGAUAACAGGAGGAACACCGGCGGCAUAGACGGCUUGCUAGACCAUCACCGACGCUGAGGCACGAAAGCGUGGGUAGCAAACA
rnacentral:rRNA from 1 species